rnacentral:tRNA from 2 species
CUCCUCGUAGUUCAAUGGAUAGAACGAGUGCCUCCUAAGCGCUAAAUACAGGUUCGAUUCCUGUCGAGGGGACCA